CCCAGGACACACAUACAUUAGGCACAGUGCACACUUCGGUAAUCCCAGGACACACAUACAUUAGGCACAGUGCACACUUCGGUAAUCCCAGGACACACAUACAUUAGGCACAGUGCACACUUCGGUAAUCCCAGGACACACAUACAUUAGGUACAGUGCACACUUCGGUAAUCCCAGGACCCACAUACAUUAGGCACAGUGCACACUCUGGUAAUCCCAGUGCUUCUCUGGUGAACUGGCAGGGGUGGCAGGAGAAUCCCUCAAGCGUGUGGGCCAGCUAACCUGGUGUUUGCAGGACACCAGCAAACAACAAAGUGGAAGGCAAAGACUGUUUGCAGGACACCAGCAAACAACAAAGUGGAAGGCAAAGACUAACGCCCCCACACUGUCCAUCACAUGUGCCCUGUAGCAUAUGCGCACCUACUCAGUGCACAGAUGCCCCCCCCCACCUCUUUUUGGACUCUUGCUACUGCCCAGCUCAUUGCUCUGUCCGUAUGAUAUAUUAAAUUUUUCUUUCUGUUACAAAGAUCUUUUUUCUUUAUUUUUAAUUGACCAUCAAAUUUAUACCUAUUUUUAGGUGGUGGCGGUACAUGUGUGUAUCUAACAUUUACUGCAUAGCUGAGCUCUGGGUUUGGCAUGCAUUUCCUCAUUACUUAUUCCUGGGGAAUCAGAAUAUUUAGGAAGAAGAGCUUUGAGACUGCAAAGAACCGAGGCAGCCCCUCUGUGUGUGUCUAUAUGUGUGUGCACGUGUGUGUGCGUGUGCAUGUGUGAUGUAUAUGUGUACUUGUGUAUAUAUGAUUGUAUCUGUCUUUGUGGGGACCAGGGUUGGGAGCCUUGAGUGCUCUCCACCAUCUUCAUCUAGACAGUCUCACAACUGAACCUAGAGCUAUCUGGCUGGUAUGUCCAGUUAGCCAGUUUACUCUGUGGGAUCCUCUGUCGCUGCUGGAUUUAAACGUGGGCUGCCAUGUCUGCCUGGCGUUUAUGUGGUUUCUAGGGAUCCAGAUUUUGAUCCUUACAGCUCUUUAUUCAGUGACCCAUUUCCCCAGGCCCCCAAAGCAUUUUUGAAAAGCAAACCAAUAGCCAGGAAGUGGUGGAGCACGCCUUUAGUCCCAGCACUCGGGAGGCAGGAGCGGGAGGCUCUCUGCGUUUGUAGCCAGCCUGAUCUGAGUGCCAGGAUAGCCAGGGCUGUGUGUGUGUGUAAAUGCAUGUUUACCAUGUCAUAGGUGUACUAAUGGAGACAUAACAAAGAAGCUUUAUUUUUUUCCUGAAGGUCACAUAGUUGGGCAGUCUGAGCUCUUUUGCUGCCUGGGCUGUGAGGUUGUACUUUCUCCUCUGGUGGCCCUGCUGUUGGGGCCCCAUCCUGGGUCACUGCCCCAGGGCCCUUUUCCCCUUUCAUGCCACAACCACCAGUACCACUUUGACCUCUCUGUGACUUAAGAUCUUUAACAAGGAGCCUCAAGAGUCAUCCUGCCUAGGCAGCCUUGCCUCUCCUCGCUCGUGCGUGACCAUCCUGGUUGCACUGAGAGUUCACAGGACUUUUGGAAUCAGAUCAUCUGAGCUCCCAGCUGAGAUCUGUCAUUUCUGUGUCUGUGGUUCUGGAAAACUGCUCAAAGUCCCUGGGGCUCAGUUUGCUUAUCUGGAAAGUGGGGCGCUUGUGAAUUAUCUAGGAGGACUAAGUGAAGUAAAAGUUGCAAACCGCUCUGCAAGUUACCGGAGCUUGGGUAGUUGAUCAGCAGAGCUAUUGGGCUGGUCCUGAACACAGCCUCUGAAGGAUUGUGGUUUGUGUGUCAAGUUUCCUAUUCCGUGCUCGUCUGUUUAUGUUGUAACCAACCGUUCUGAUGAAGUAGACAGAGCAGCUGUACUCUGGGAUCAUAGAUGUGUGCCUGUGCUCUGCGAGGCCACACAUACUUUUGCAAGGCAAGGUUGGAGCCAUCAUUGUCGUCUUACUCUACUUAGCGUUGUCUUUGGGAGCUAAGCCCUGACACAGCUAUGUCAGCAGAUGGCUAGGGGCUGGAGCUUUGCUCAGUGGUACGGAGGGCCCCAGGUUUCUGGUGAGUCAGUGCUCAAGUGUGUCUUAGCGCCAGUGUGGGCCGGAUCUGCUCCACGAGGCUGGCCAGGCCACACCCCGGGGAAGUUUGGCAGUCAGCCUUGAACUCCCUGGGCAGGGCCCCAAGACAGAUGUAGGCACUGGGGAGUGAGCAGGGGAGCAGCCCCUGGCUGAAGAGAGGUGACAGGCGUCUGGUCAUGUGGGAGCCAGGCAGGCCUUCACUCUGGACUCCCUAAAUGUCUAGGCUUACAUUGAGCACACUCUGAGGACUGAACCCAGGGGGUUUGUUGGCCAGGAGGCCUCUGACAGCAAGAGGUUGGAUUUCUUUCCCCACCAUCUUGCUGAAGUCAGCCUGGUUGGGAUUUCAGUUAAUUAGCGGCUCCCCCAUAGGCCUCUGGGUUCCCUUGAGAGUGAGUAGUUGUAUUUCAGGUUCUGGUAGGGUACCCUGGUAAAGCGCCAGUUCCUAGAUGGCUGCUGGUGGACAGUGGCUGUGCAGAGCUCACAGUCAUUUGCUACGUUAUCUAGCAGGGCCCUCAUGGCAGUGAGAGGAACACGGACCCUCCGGAUUUGGUGCAGUGUGCAGGCAUUGGCUCAGCGAGGCAGAUGCAGUCUCACCUUCACAGGUGAGGUGUGGAGCUGCAGACUUAAGGGUGGCAGUUGUUGGUGGCUUCUGGAGUGGACCCUGAUUCCUGAGGGGUACUUAGGUGGUGCCUUGCCUCCACCCUCGCUGUUGAGUGUCCCUUGUGUGCGUUUACACCGUGUGCCAUCGUUAGCUGUAAAUCUCAUACUCUAGCCUGGUGCCUGAGUUGGUGGCACAUUGGCUGGCACCUGAAGCCUGGUUCUCCGCCCCAGGGAAGGUGCAGGGCUGCCGGAUGAUAUUGAUUCAGCCAGGACAUCGGCAGGAACUUUGGCUCUUCCUCCAAGCUGCUGCUUGUUUAUUUGGCCUUGUCAGGGAAUGUGGUAGUUGACUGGAACGCGGCGUCUGAACCCUGCAGCCUCCUUGUUAAAGGGUUUCACCGUCAGCAGCCAUUCUAUUCAUUUGGUGUCACCAGGUUCUGAGGUUAAUCCGUUCAAAUGGUGGUCAAAUUCUAAGGGGUGUUUGCUCUAACCACUUCUUUGGGGGGAGAGAAGAAAGAAUUACAUCCUAUGCCCUGCUUCACUUCCUUCUCCAAGGGGAAAGCAUCACCUGUGAGUGUCGGGAGGGAGGGAGCCCGGGUGCUGCUAACACUAGCUUCCCUUUCUGGUUAAACUCCUGUCUCUGCUUUAUGUUUUUGGGUGUGGCUCUUGCUAGCCUGGCUUGUCACUCCUUCAGGUGCUUCUCAUAGACCUUUCUAGGUGAAAAUUGCUCUUCUUCAGAGGUCCCUUUUUUUCCUGGGCCACCCUCCAUACUCCCCAGUUCCUGGAGAAGGGAGAACCAGACCCCAGAGGAACCAGCAGAGCUGAAAAUGAGCCCCAACCCCGUUCCAAGGGUGGUCUUGGGCAAAUGAGUGGCUUUCUUAAGGCACCUUGCUUUCUCAACUACAAAACAGGGUCACUAUUGUCCCUCCCAAUUAAAAAUGAUCUUACAUUCACUUACUGUGUGCCUGUGCGUGUACCUAUGUGCGUCCGUGUGGAGGUCGGUCAGAAGACAGCCUAGCCUGAAGGAAUUGGUUCUAGUCUUUUACUAUGUGAGUCCCAGGGAUCGAGUUCAGGACCUGAGGCUUGGCGAUAGGCACCUUUGCCCCUGAGCCUUCCUUGUUGCUUUAUUAGGUUACUGGGGUAGGGUAAGGGGUCAGGAAAGCACGGUAGCCCCCAGAUCAUCUGUUAAGUUGAGAGUAGACAAGGAACCACCUGAGUGUUCCUCCUUUGCUCCUUGAGCUCCAGCACCAGCCUCCCAAGCUCGCUGUGAGAAGCCACCGAACUGCCACCUGUCUGGGGCCUGUCUCCCUGGGGAUACUCUGCUCCUAGUUCCCUCCCCUGAGACCUGGCUCUGGGGAGAAUGCCAAGUCAGCACUCCUUUAUCUCCCGGUCUCCUUCGGGGAGGAGUUUAGCCCAGUUUCAGUCAGGUUUAACCACAACAUUCCCUCUCUGUUAUGUAUUUAUUUAUUUUCUGCUGGUUGAAUAGGGUCUCAUUAUGUUGCCUAGGCUGUUCUCUGCUUCAGCCUCCUCAGUACCCAGGACUGUAGGGACUGCACCUAUAUACCGCCUGCUUGUUUGCCUGUUCUUUUCGU
ensembl:lncRNA